rnacentral:rRNA from 1 species
UUUCAAGCAGAAGACGGCAUACGAGAUAUAUCAGUGUGACUGGAGUUCAGACGUGUGCUCUUCCGAUCUGCUGGACGUAUCAGAAGUGCGAAUGCUGACAUAAGUAACGAUAAAGCGGGUGAAAAGCCCGCUCGCCGGAAGACCAAGGGUUCCUGUCCAACGUUAAUCGGGGCAGGGUGAGUCGACCCCUAAGGCGAGGCCGAAAGGCGUAGUCGAUGGGAAACAGGUUAAUAUUCCUGUACUUGGUGUUACUGCGAAGGGGGGACGGAGAAGGCUAUGUUGGCCGGGCGACGGUUGUCCCGGUUUAAGCGUGUAGGCUGGUUUUCCAGGCAAAUCCGGAAAAUCAAGGCUGAGGCGUGAUGACGAGGCACUACGGUGCUGAAGCAACAAAUGCCCUGCUUCCAGGAAAAGCCUCUAAGCAUCAGGUAACAUCAAAUCGUACCCCAAACCGACACAGGUGGUCAGGUAGAGAAUACCAAGGCGCUUGAGAGAACUCGGGUGAAGGAACUAGGCAAAAUGGUGCCGUAACUUCGGGAGAAGGCACGCUGAUAUGUAGGUGAAGUCCCUUGCGGAUGGAGCUGAAAUCAGUCGAAGAUACCAGCUGGCUGCAACUGUUUAUUAAAAACACAGCACUGUGCAAACACGAAAGUGGACGUAUACGGUGUGACGCCUGCCCGGUGCCGGAAGGUUAAUUGAUGGGGUUAGCGGUAACGCGAAGCUCUUGAUCGAAGCCCCGGUAAACGGCGGCCGUAACUAUAACGGGCCUAAGGUAGCGAAAUUCCUUGUCGGGUAAGUUCCGACCUGCACGAAUGGCGUAAUGAUGGCCAGGCUGUCUCCACCCGAGACUCAGUGAAAUUGAACUCGCUGUGAAGAUGCAGUGUACCCGCGGCAAGACGGAAAGACCCCGUGAACCUUUACUAUAGCUUGACACUGAACAUUGAGCCUUGAUGUGUAGGAUAGGUGGGAGGCUUUGAAGUGUGGACGCCAGUCUGCAUGGAGCCGACCUUGAAAUACCACCCUUUAAUGUUUGAUGUUCUAACGUUGACCCGUGAUCCGGGUUGCGGACAGUGUCUGGUGGGUAGUUUGACUGGGGCGGUCUCCUCCUAAAGAGUAACGGAGGAGCACGAAGGUUGGCUAAUCCUGGUCGGACAUCAGGAGGUUAGUGCAAUGGCAUAAGCCAGCUUGACUGCGAGCGUGACGGCGCGAGCAGGUGCGAAAGCAGGUCAUAGUGAUCCGGUGGUUCUGAAUGGAAGGGCCAUCGCUCAACGGAUAAAAGGUACUCCGGGGAUAACAGGCUGAUACCGCCCAAGAGUUCAUAUCGACGGCGGUGUUUGGCACCUCGAUGUCGGCUCAUCACAUCCUGGGGCUGAAGUAGGUCCCAAGGGUAUGGCUGUUCGCCAUUUAAAGUGGUACGCGAGCUGGGUUUAGAACGUCGUGAGACAGUUCGGUCCCUAUCUGCCGUGGGCGCUGGAGAACUGAGGGGGGCUGCUCCUAGUACGAGAGGACCGGAGUGGACGCAUCACUGGUGUUCGGGUUGUCAUGCCAAUGGCACUGCCCGGUAGCUAAAUGCGGAAGAGAUAAGUGCUGAAAGCAUCUAAGCACGAAACUUGCCCCGAGAUGAGUUCU